UACGGGGGGGGCAAGCGUUGUUCGGAAUUACUGGGCGUAAAGGGCUCGUAGGCGGCCAACUAAGUCAGACGUGAAAUCCCUCGGCUUAACCGGGGAACUGCAUCUGAUACUGGAUGGCUUGAGUUUGGGAGAGGGAUGCGGAAUUCCAGGUGUAGCGGUGAAAUGCGUAGAUAUCUGGAGGAACACCCGAGGCGAAAGCGGCGCGCUGGACCACUACUGACGCUGAGGAACGAAAGCUAGGGGAGCAAACAGG
rnacentral:rRNA from 1 species